AUUGAACGCUGGCGGCAGGCCUAACACAUGCAAGUCGAGCGGUAGAGCGGUGCUUGCACCUCUUGAGAGCGGCGGACGGGUGAGUAAUGCCUAGGAAUCUGCCUGGUAGUGGGGGAUAACGCUCGGAAACGGACGCCAAUACCGCAUACGUCCUACGGGAGAAAGCAGGGGACCUUCGGGCCUUGCGCUCUCAGAUGAGCCUAGGUCGGAUUAGCUAGUUGGUGAGGUAAUGGCUCACCAAGGCGACGAUCCGUAACUGGUCUGAGAGGAUGAUCAGUCACACUGGAACUGAGACACGGUCCAGACUCCUACGGGAGGCAGCAGUGGGGAAUAUUGGACAAUGGGCGAAAGCCUGAUCCAGCCAUGCCGCGUGUGUGAAGAAGGUCUUCGGAUUGUAAAGCACUUUAAGUUGGGAGGAAGGGUCGUUACCUAAUACGUGACGAUUUUGACGUUACCGACAGAAUAAGCACCGGCUAACUCUGUGCCAGCAGCCGCGGUAAUAC
rnacentral:rRNA from 1 species